AGUGAACGCUGGCGGUAGGCCUAACACAUGCAAGUCGAACGGCAGCACAGUAAGAGCUUGCUCUUACGGGUGGCGAGUGGCGGACGGGUGAGGAAUACAUCGGAAUCUACUUUUUCGUGGGGGAUAACGUAGGGAAACUUACGCUAAUACCGCAUACGACCUACGGGUGAAAGCAGGGGAUCUUCGGACCUUGCGCGAUUGAAUGAGCCGAUGUCGGAUUAGCUAGUUGGCGGGGUAAAGGCCCACCAAGGCGACGAUCCGUAGCUGGUCUGAGAGGAUGAUCAGGCACACUGGAACUGAGCCACGGUCCAGACUCCUACGGGAGGCAGCAGUGGGGAAUAUUGGACAAUGGGCGCAAGCCUGAUCCAGCCAUACCGCGUGGGUGAAGAAGGCCUUCGGGUUGUAAAGCCCUUUUGUUGGGAAAAAAAAGCAGCAGGUUAAUACCCCGCUGUUCUGACGGUACCCAAAGAAUAAGCACCGGCUAACUUCGUG
rnacentral:rRNA from 1 species